rnacentral:rRNA from 1 species
UACGUAGGGGGCGAGCGUUGUCCGGAAUCAUUGGGCGUAAAGCGCGCGUAGGUGGCUUCGUAAGUCCGCUGUGAAAGUCAAAGGCUCAACCUUUGAAUGCCGCUGGAAACUGUCUGGCUUGAGUCCGGAAGGGGCGAGUGGAAUUCCUGGUGUAGCGGUGAAAUGCGCAGAUAUCAGGAGGAACACCAAUGGCGAAGGCAGCUCGCUGGAACGGUACUGACGCUGAGGCGCGAAAGCGUGGGGAGCGAACAGG